ensembl:snRNA U4 U4 spliceosomal RNA
AGCUUUGUGCGAUGGCAAUAUCGUAGCCAAUGAGGUUUAUCUGAGGUGUGAUUGUUGCUAAUUGGGGAAGAAAAAAAAAAAGACUUUGGUCUAGCCUGAUAGGUCCUUAAACCCCAAAUGUGGAAGACUUUAUUUAUU